rnacentral:lncRNA from 1 species
CCAUACCUCGUUGUACAUGCACAUUUGGCUAACACUGGUAACAUUUUUUUUUUCAAUAGCAACCUCUGCCGCUGCUGAUUCAUCAAGUCGUGAAAAGAGAAGACGGGAAUGGAAGGUACGUGCAUAUGGAUCAUGAUCUACGACGACUCCGCACUCUGAUAACGACUUGACGACGAUGCAAUUGGAGCAUUAGACCUGUCUCCCUCCAUUACCUAGCUAGGAUGGGCUCUCAGAUUGGCGACGAGCAUUUGC